rnacentral:lncRNA from 1 species
UGCACAGAUCAUGCUAAGUUUCUGUAAGUAAUAUUCAGAAAUUAGAGAAUAAAAAGGCGAAGUUCAUGUCGUAAAGGUAGGCGUAUAGUUUGUCAUUGGUUAUUGCGUUUGUCGUUACACUCUUUUUCCAUCGAUAAUCGAUCUAUUGCCGCUGGCAAAGGACCACUGAUGAUGUUCAAUUGACUUUCCUUUUCUUUUUUGUAUCUCUUGCUUCUGGCCGAGCAAAUCGAACCGAAAUGUCGGAAUGGAGAUCAAUAGUUUUGGAUAUAGAAAAAAACCAAACAAACGGCGGUACAGGGUAAAACAAAGUAUAGAUGCAAAUAAAAAAGAAUCAUUUCAUUUAAAAUUCCUAGUUUUCCCAUCAAUGACGCCCACGCAAUUCUGAUAUCAUUGACGGCGAAUGAUUCAAAAGGAAUUUCACUAGGUAUAGUCUUUGUAGAUGCCUACCGGCCAAAAUGCACCAGUUGGCCAGCUACGAAACAUAAACAAAAACAACAAACAAAUGUACUGCAUCUAUAGCACAAAUUUACGUCGUUGCUAUUCCCCGUUAACUGCGCUCCGUUGACUAACAACAUUCGGGGGUCUAAAUGUAAAAGUUAUUAUUUGUAAAUGUCGUUACAAUUUAGUGGCGAUCAAAAACAACGUGAAAUGUAGCGUCACUUUCCCUUUGCUCUCUGUUUCUGUUUCUCUCGCUCCGUUCCCUGCCCUAGUUGGGGCGCGCGGGACUGUGUCGAAUUUCGAAAGUAUGCGGAAUCCAGUUGGCUGCUGCUGCUGCUGCUGCUGUUACCAUUCAUUCAUUUGAAAUGGAACUUUACAUGGUGUUUGAUUCGACAACUGGCAUCAAAAUGAUAUUUACUAAGCGCACCCAAUUUCAAAAUGUAUUCGAACCAAUAAUGGCUGUAGUCGAACAAGCCUGCAACACUAGCAAUCAAAUGGAAAGAUUCCAGCCAAGGAGAACGGGUACACACUCGUUAUGGUUGUCCUUCGAUCGAUUCCUUAAAUACCUUUGGCGCAACACAACUGUCCAUCAUCCAUCACGCGGAUAGAUUGGAUUUCCUCGAAUACUUUUUAAUAUUAUCAAAAUUAAGGACAGCACGACACGUUGCAUUCCUGAUGUACCAAUCGUUAGAGUAACAAGCGUGUAACGGAUGGCAAUCUUCGUAUUCGUGAAAAGACAGCACAGGUAUAAAACCAGGGACUCGCUCAUUUCAAAGUUGGCCUUUGUGAACGGUUGCAAGCAAGACAAUGCUGGUAUUGGUAUUGACACACCCCACUAUCUCGAUGCCCGCUACUGUAUAGGACAACGAAAGCUUUAGAAACGGCAGCAAGAGUUCGUGACACGGACAGCAGAGAUUCACUUGUGAAAUGCGUUCAAUUUGGUUUGAACAAUGAAACAAGUCAAAGCGAUUUGGGCUGGGUCAACUAAACAAUCGUUUCGCGACUAGUUCAAAUUGGAACGCAGAAUAUUUAAAAAUGUCACUGUCCCUACGACGCACUGAUUCGCGAAUCGAUUAUCUUACGCAACGAAUAAACAAAAAAAGGGGGAAAGGAAUCUAUUGAAGUGAAGAUAUUCCCUAACGGAGCGAAGGGCACGACCCGUUAGCUUUAAAGGCUACUGCACACACUUGAUGCUGGAUUCUUUGCAAGCCCUUAAAUCAAUCCGGAAGAGCAUUGUGGGAUUUUUUCGUUUCAACACAUACUCAGCAAUUUUCAUUUGGUAGAGGGAAAAGCUACUUUCAAAGUGCCUGAUGUAACUAAUUGAAUCGCAAAUUGCUAAAUGAUCGACUGUCGGUUCAAACCAGUUUCGGCAUCAUAAAACACUUUGCUUACAUUCGAAAGUACAGCUGGGGGCGCACAAAAAAAAUAAAAAUAAAAAAAGGCUUGAAAAAAAUUUGAAAGAAAUAGAGAAUAGAACUCCUUUUUUUUCCCCUUUUUCUUCUGCACCCUAUUGUUAUUGAGUUUUCGUCGACGAUUAUAUGGAAAUCAUUUGACGUUUAUUUUCGGGUUCUUUUCCACUCGUUUUUGUUAGUGGCUUUAUUCUUUUUAGUUGACGGACGACUUUCUAAUCAUCGAUGGAUGAUCACCGCAUCAAGGGUAGCAAAACAGCUGAAAGAAUUUUCUCGUCUUCUUUUUCUUUUUUUGUUUUUUUGGCUCUUUUUCUUUAGCCCAAUGUCCGCGCUGCUUUGGGCGUCACACGGGAGCCAUGUUAACAACAAAUUGUUUGUUCGUUUGGGCUGUUUUUUUUUUCUCUCUCUCUCCCUCAAUAAUGAAUAAUAUACUCUCACUUUUCCCUUUCUGUGCUGCAUCAAUAC